CAGCCGCCACGGUAAUACGAAGGGGGCUAGCGUUGUUCGGAAUUACUGGGCGUAAAGCGCACGUAGGCGGAUCGAUCAGUCAGGGGUGAAAUCCCAGGGCUCAACCCUGGAACUGCCUUUGAUACUGUCGAUCUGGAGUAUGGAAGAGGUGAGUGGAAUUCCGAGUGUAGAGGUGAAAUUCGUAGAUAUUCGGAGGAACACCAGUGGCGAAGGCGGCUCACUGGUCCAUUACUGACGCUGAGGUGCGAAAGCGUGGGGAGCAAACAGGAUUAGAUACCCCCGUAGUCCCUGUCUCUUAUAC
rnacentral:rRNA from 1 species